GAUGAACGCUGGCGGCGUGCUUAACACAUGCAAGUCGAACGAAACACCUUAUUUGAUUUUGUUCGCAACUGAAGAUUUGGUGAUUGAGUGGCGGACGGGUGAGUAACGCGUGGGUAACAUGCCCUGUACAGGGGGAUAAUAGUCAGAAAUGACUGCUAAUACCGCAUAAGACCACAGCACCGCAUGGUGCAGGGGUAAAAACUCCGGUGGUAUAGGAGGGACGCGCAUCUGAUUUGCCGGAGGGUGCGGUAACGGCUCACCAAGGCGACGAUCACUAGCCGGCAUGAGAGAGAGGGCGACGACACUGGGGCUAAGACACAGCCGAAACUCCUACGGAAAGGAGGAGAGGGGAAUACUGCAAGAUGGGGGAAGCCCUGAUGGAGCGACGGCGGGAAAGUGAAGAAGUAUGUCGGUAAGCGGUGCAGGAUCAGAAGCGAAGAAAAUGACGGUACCUGACGAAGAAGCCCCGGCUAACUACGUG
rnacentral:rRNA from 1 species